CUGGCGCCAGGGACGCUGCCAGCACGCAGGCCCCGACGGAAGCCGAGACUGCGCUUCGUGCGAGGCCCGGGCAGCAUCGGCGGCGUGGUCAGAGCGAGUCUCGGAGAAGAUGUGGUGGCUUCCGUUUGUUGGUGGAGGAGGUGGCAGGCCUCGGCGCUUGGAAGCUGUCACUCCUGUCCUCACAACAACAACAAAAAACACCUUGAACAAACUGAAAAUUACAACUUUUCUUAGAUCCAUCAGAGACUUGAGGUUAACGGGGCAAACCGUUAUCCCCCAAAUUGGAGAGGCAGUGAGUCCUAGCCUAACAGGAUCGGAGGCUGGCCACUGGAGCCAGAACCACGGUGGGAAGACUUACAUGUAAACAACAAAUCGCUGGAGGCUCCAUGCGCAUAAACUUGAGAAUUAAGAAUUAAGGGAGCCCAGUCUUAGGGGGCCCUACACUUUCAUGAACCUCCAAGAGCUCUGCCAGACGCUGUUAUGCACAUCACAGAAAAAUUCCCUCCUGCUUCCCACAGGGAAGGGGAAAAGUAACUACUUUGAAAUACGCCCUGGGUGUUCCGUUCUCCUUAGCAAAAGCCUGCCCCAGGGAAACUAUUUCACAAGAGUCUAACCACCUUGGGCUUUAGCAGGGCCUAACACAUGUUAGAAUAAGAAUAAAAGUUGCAUCAAACUUUUCUUCAGAACCCAUGCAAGCAAGCAAGAAAAUUCCACCAACCUAAAAUUCUGUAUCCUGCAAAAUUAUCUUUCCAAAGUGAAGAAAAAUAAAGACUUUCUCAGACAAACACAAAUUUGCUGUCAGUAGAUCUGUCAAAAUAUUAAAAGAAGUUAUCCAGAGAGAAGAAAAUGAUAUAGGCUAAAAACUUGGAUCUACAUAAAGAAAAAAGGUUUUAGAGAAGGAAGAAAGGGGCUUCCUGCCUCCCUCCUCCAUGGGGCACUGGUGCUAUGCCCAGCACCCAGAUGCCCCUACCCAAUGCUGAAUAAGAACACAGAGCACCGUGAAUGGCUGGCUCUAAAAGGAAAAGUGGAAGACUUGUGUUCUCAACCCACAGCUGCUACUGCUACAUUUAAAGACACUGCAGUGAACAUUGUAAGUUCUCUGGCUCAUGGAGGGAGGAAUCUAUUCCAAAGACUCUGAGAAAAACUGUAAAUUAAACACAAAUAUGGUGAAAGCUGGUUCCAGAGCUUUAUUGAUGUUAAUAAUGCACCUUAUUGACCAGGCACAGUGGCACAUGACUGUGAUCCCAGCACUUUGGGAGGCCAAGGUGGGAGGAUCACAAGGUCAGAAGAUCGAGUCCAGACUGGCCAACAUGGUGAAACCCUGUCUCUUCUAAAAAUACAAAAAUUAGCUGGGUGUGGUGGCACGUGCCUGUAAUCCCAGCGACUCAGGAAGCUGAGGCAGGAGAAUCGCUUGAACCCACUGGUGGAGGUUGCUGUGAGCUGAGAUGGCACCACUCCACUACAGCCUGGUGACAGAGGAAGACUACCUCUCAAAAAACAAACAAACAAAAAACAAAAACAAAAAAACAAAAAACUGGUCACCUUUUCACCAUACACAAAAAUUAACUCAGGUUGGAUUAAAGAUUUAAAUUUAAGACCUCAAACAACAAUAAUCCGAGAAGAAAAACUUCAAAAGUACCAUUCUGGAUAUGGGCUAUGGGAAAUAAUUCAUGACUAAGUCUUCAAAAGAAAUUGCAACAAAAGCAAAAGUUGACAAAUGGGACCUAAUUAAACUAAAGAGCUGCCACACAGCAAAGGAAAACAUCAGCAGAGUAAACAACCUACAGAAUGGGGGAAAUUAUUCACAAACUAUGCAUCCAACAAAGGUCUAAUAUUUAGAAUCCAUAAGGAACAUAAUUCAACAAGCAAAACACAACCCCAUUAAAAAGGGGCAAAAGACAUAGACACUUCUCAGAAGGAGACAUACAUGCAGCCAACAAACAUGAAAAAAAGUUCAUCAUCACUAAUCAUGAGAGAAAUGCAAAUCAAAACCACAAUGAGAUAUUAUCUCACACCAGUCAGAAUGACUAUUUUUGAAAAGUCAAAAAAAAAAAAAUAGCAGAUACUGGCAAGGAUAAGGAGAAAAGGGAAUGCUUAUACACCUUUGGUGGGAAUGUAAGUUAGUUCAGCCACUGUGGAAAGCAAUUCGGAGAUUUCUCAAAGAACAUAAAACAGAACUAACAUUCAACUCAGCAGUCUCAUUACCGAAUAUGUAUCCAAAAGAAAACAAAUCAUUCCACCAAAAAGACAUAUGCACUGGUUUGUUUAUUGCAACACUAUUCACGUUAGCAAAGACAUGGGAUCAACCUAGGUGCCCAUCAACAGUGGACUGGAUAAAAAUGUGGUACAUAUAGACCAUUGAAUACUAUGCAGCUACAAAAAAGAAUAAAAUUACGUUCUUUGAGGGAAAAUGGAUAGAGCUGGAAUCCAGGAAGUGAACUAAUGUAGUAACAGAAAACAAACGCCUCAUGUUCCUAUAAGUAGGAGCUAAAUUCUGAGUACCCAUGGACAUGAAGAUGGUGACAAUAGACACUAGGGACUGCUAGGAGGGGGAGGGAGGAAGGAAAGGUUGAAAAACUGCUGAGUACCAUGUUCAGUACCUGGAUGUUGGGAUCAUUCAUACCCCAAACCUCAGAACCACACAAUAUACCCAGGUAAUAAACCUCCACAUGUACACCCUGAAUCUAACAUAAAAGUUGAAAAAGAAAAAACAGAA